AUCGCCACACCUAAAGGAUCCUCAUUAAGGUGGGUGGAAUAGUAUAACAAUAUGCUCAAUGUUGUUAUAGUAUCCCACCUACCCUGAUGUGUCUUUAAGACUCUUAACGGU
ensembl:miRNA Gm54598 predicted gene, 25749